rnacentral:rRNA from 1 species
ACUCGGCAAAUUAUCUUCAUAAGUUAGACGAAAUGAAGGACCCUCUCUAAUUAUUUAUUUUGUUUUAAAAUAGAUUAUUAUUAAAUUAAUAGUAAUAACAAUUUUAAGAAUUGGUUUAUAAUUAGGAUGGUGGCACAGAAUCGGAGGCCCCGACUGUUUACUUAAAACACAGCUUUCUGCAACGAUUAAUAUCUUUGUAUAGGAAGCGAAUUUUGCCCAAUGCCAUUAAUAUAAUGUUGAUAACCUUUUUAGUGUUUAUUGAUUGAAGUUCUGGUCAAUGGCGGUCUUAACCAUGAGGAUCCUAAGGUAGCAAAAUUAAUUGUCCAUUAAAUGUGGUCCCGACUGAAUAAAGUAACGAUGGUCUCACUGUCUCUACAAGUAUCUCAGUGAAAU